UACGUAGGGUGCAAGCGUUAAUCGGAAUUACUGGGCGUAAAGCGUGCGCAGGCGGUUCGCUAAGACCGAUGUGAAAUCCCCGGGCUUAACCUGGGAACUGCAUUGGUGACUGGCGGGCUAGAGUAUGGCAGAGGGGGGUAGAAUUCCACGUGUAGCAGUGAAAUGCGUAGAUAUGUGGAGGAACACCGAUGGCGAAGGCAGCCCCCUGGGCUAACACUGACGCUCAUGCACGAAAGCGUGGGGAGCAAACAGG
rnacentral:rRNA from 1 species